AACUUUAUCAAAUCAAAUACUAGACAUCGUGUCUUAAUGAACUUCCCAACGGACAAGAGAGAUGCCAUAUUCUGGGAUCUGGAGGGAAAACAUAACUUGAGGAACAGAAACAGAAAUGACUGCCAAAUCCUGCUCUGGAAGAAUUCCAUUGAAAUAUAUCAUAAAAAUAAAAAAAUCAGUUAAUCGACAUGCAGAUAUGAUAUAACCCAU
rnacentral:misc_RNA from 1 species